GAACCGUACCCCAAACCGACACAGGUGGUCAGGUAGAGAAUACUAAGGCGCUUGAGAGAACUCGGGUGAAGGAACUCGGCAAAAUUGUACCGUAACUUCGGGAGAAGGUACGCCUCUGUUUGUGAACACUUCGCGUGGUAAGCAAAUGGAGGCCGCAGUGACCAGGUGGCUGGGACUGUUUAUUAAAAACACAGCACUGUGCAAACACGAAAGUGGACGUAUACGGUGUGACGCCUGCCCGGUGCCGGAAGGUUAAUUGAUGGGGUUAGUUUUCGGACGAAGCUCUUGAUCGAAGCCCCGGUAAACGGCGGCCGUAACAAUAACGGUCCUAAGGUAGCGAAAUUCCUUGUCGGGUAAGUUCCGACCUGCACGAAUGGUGUAACCAUGGCCACGCUGUCUCCACCCGAGACUCAGUGAAAUUGAAAUCGCAGUGAAGAUGCUGUGUACCCGCACCUAGACGGAAAGACCCCGUGAACCUUUACUACAGCUUGGCACUGAACAUUGAACCUACAUGUGUAGGAUAGGUGGGAGGCUUUGAAGCACAGUCGCUAGAUUGUGUGGAGCCGUCCUUGAAAUACCACCCUUGUAUGUUUGAUGUUCUAACAUUGACCCCUUAUCGGGGUUGUGGACAGUGUCUGGUGGGUAGUUUGACUGGGGCGGUCUCCUCCCAAAUAGUAACGGAGGAGCACGAAGGUUAGCUAAUCACGGUCGGACAUCGUGAGGUUAGUGCAAUGGCAUAAGCUAGCUUAACUGCGAGACAGACACGUCGAGCAGGUACGAAAGUAGGUCAUAGUGAUCCGGUGGUUCUGUAUGGGAAAGC
rnacentral:rRNA from 11 species